rnacentral:rRNA from 1 species
GACGAACGCUGGCGGCAUGCCUAACACAUGCAAGUCGAACGGAGAUUAUUUCGGUAAUCUUAGUGGCGAACGGGUGAGUAACGCGUAGGCAACCUGCCCUUUAGUUGGGGACAACAUUCCGAAAGGGGUGCUAAUACCCGAAUGUGACAGUUUUCUCGCAUGAGAUUACUGUGAAAGAUGGCCUCUAAUUUUAUAAGCUAUCGCUAAAGGAUGGGCCUGCGUCUGAUUAGCUAGUUGGUGGGUAACGGCCUACCAAGGCGACGAUCAGUAGCCGGUCUGAGAGGAUGAACGGCCACAUUGGGACUGAGACACGGCCCAGACUCCUACGGGAGGCAGCAGUGGGGAAUCUUGGCCAAUGGGCGUGAGCCUGACCAGCCAAGUAGCGUGCGGGAUGAAGGCCCUAUGGGUUGUAAACC